rnacentral:rRNA from 1 species
GACGUAGGGAGCAAGCGUUGUCCGGAAUUACUGGGCGUAAAGAGCUCGUAGGCGGGAGCGUAAGUCUGAAAGGAAAUCUCAAGGCUCAACUUUGGGGCUUUUUCGGAUACUGCGUUUCUUGAGGUUAUCAGAGGAAAGUAGAAUUCCCGGUGUAGCGGUGAAAUGCGUAGAUAUCGGGAGGAAUACCGGUGGCGAAGGCGACUUUCUGGGAUACACCUGACGCUGAGGAGCGAAAGCGUGGGGAGCAAACGGG